GCCGGAGCUGGAGCCGCGGGCGCCCCGCGCGCUGUGGGAGCGGAGCGGGAGGGGCGGGGGAGGAGGCCCGGGAACGCGCACGCUCGGCCGCGUCCAGCCGGGGCCAGGAGCCGGCCGUCUUCGGGGGCGCGCACGAUUGGGCCGAGGCGGAAAAGGCCAUAGUAGGGGCGCGCACGCNGGGGAGGGGGCCGAGACAAAGCGGCCGCUAAUGAAUGGGGACCGGGAUCCGGAUCCGGCUGCUCCUCCUCCUCCUCCGCCUCCUGCAGCCGGGCCGCCGGGCCGAGGCCGGGGCCGGAGACCGCCGCGGAGGUGAGUGGGGGAGGGGCGGGGGGUGGGGGGGGCUUCCAACCCCCCUCCCCCGGGGCCCCGGGCCCCCAUUGUUUGCGGCUUCGACCCGGCCCGGCCCGGCCGCCACGCGGCCCGGCGCCUUGACAGCUGCCCUGGGCCGCGGGGAGGUGGCGCCCGCUGGGGGGGGUGGGUCGGGACCCCGUGGGCAGUCCCCCACCGAGCCCGCUCGGACCCAGACUCGGCCCGACCCGUUCGGCGUCCGGGGUAGGGGUGGGGGAGGGGGCGUCCUUCCGUCGGUCGGUCCGGCAGUCCGACGGUGCCGGGCACCCCGCAGUGGGCCCCAGGGCAGCCGGCAGGGGUUGGUGCAUCCCUUGGGGUCCCCUGCCCCGGGGGAGCUCGCCCGCCUGGGCCAGGCUGGGGUCCGGGGGCCCGGGAGAAAGGAAGUGAGUGAGUGUGGUGAAUGGGGGCAGCAAGUGGAGUUCUCUCUGGUCGCUUCUACUCGGGAAAUACAGAAAUACUGGUCCUUGGGUGGGGGGCGGGGGGGGGUUCCUGAGCCGGGCUUCGUGACCCGGGCAUGUCCUGGAGUCUUUAACCACCCCCCAUGCCCCCCCCCCCCAAACAAUCUCCCAUCCGGAACAAACUUCAGCGACAUUGAUCGCUGCCUCUUGUGGAAAGAGAAGAGGCUGGGCACGCUCUGCUGGUCCCCGGGGGGCAGGUGCAUGGGGAUGAGGCGGGGCGAGCGCCAUAAAGACCCAAGAGCGGGGCUCUCCUGUGGGGGGAGAAAGUGUCCGCCGGGCUGCGAGGCAGUGGGACUGACCCCAGUCUCAACUAGUUGGGUCUGGGCUUGGGGGUGGGGCCUCGCCCACCCGAGGGAGGAAGUUAGCUGCCACCGGAGGGAUGGUCCCCCGAAGGGCACAGAGGAUUCCCAGGCGGCUGGAGCCUGCGCUCCCCUGCCCGCAGGCCUGACUUCCCCUGCUAACACCGCCGUCCCGUCUCGGUGUUUCAGAUCCUGUGCGGACAUAUGGUCGGGAAAGUGGAGAAGUGUGGGCGAUGAAGCCGAGGCACCGGGAGAAGAUGCUGAGUGAUGUAAAAGGAUCGUGUUUACAUUUUCAAGAUGGAUGGAAUGCUGACUUUGAGAAGAGAAGCUGAACCGUCUCUGGUGUUCACAACAUGGAGCGUCUCCUACUCAAGAGGCUGGAGCAUGGCAACUUAGGCCCUGGGACGAUCUGCUUCUGAGGAGAUGCAGAGGCUUUUGUGAGUUGUGUCUACAAGUUCUCAGUAAGAACUGGCAAUGAAUCCUGUUUGCAGAAAUGGCCACAUGAAAGAAGACUGAAGAUUGGGUGUCUGUGCUUUUUCCCAGACUCAGUUAUCUGGAUCAAACUGUACACAAUGAUGCAGC
ensembl:lncRNA